UCAGAAAAAUCUUCCUUCCCAGUCUCGCGUGUUUCCACAACGGGGAUCGUAUAUUCAAUAACUAACGCUGCUUUCAAGCACGUCUUGCCUCAAGUUUCCCGGAUAAAAGUCACGUGACCUCGGCAACAAUAAUACACGUAGAUACGCAACGACCGUGCGAUCAUAACAAUCCUUGAUGCGAAAGUAAGUACCUCGGGAGACGUCGUACAGUGUUGUGUAGUGCCCGUUCUUAUGAACAAAAAUUGAUAUUUGAAAUCUAUUCGUCCAUAUCGAUUUAAAAUUUUACAUAUAUACAUACGUGAAAACAGUGUUUCCCUUAUAAUCACUAGCCAACUACGUAAAACAAUUAAGAUAGUUAUUGAGAAGGGAAUAUGUCAAUUGCGGAAAAAAAAAUUAAAUCCUCUGUCGUUCUGCGUAUAAAAGUAUUAGAAUAAAAACAUCGAAAAGUCCUGUCGAGAAAAAACAUCGUAGUAUUCGAUUUACGAUUGUUUACACGCAACUCACGAGUAUACCUGCUAAAUAUUAGGCUGCUAUUGCGCGCUUUUCGUGACAUCAUCAAGUGCCGUUAAAAUCAUUGUGAUCGCGAGUGCAGUGUAGCGAGUGAGUGCAAUCGAUGUGGGACGACGCUAUGGAGGCUAGAAAACUGGACUAGCUACUAGGAAUCUUGAAUGGAACGAGCUGACUUCCCGGCAGCUCGGACGAACGGAAGGUCAAACGGGAGCGAAUAACGGAUGGCACUCCGCCGAGCGAGAUCGAUAUACACAACGAUACCGGCGAUAUAUCCAGCGGUAAAUGCCCCGCGAGUCGCAAUCUUCGGUCCGAAUACGCCCAUAAAAAUGUCGUUUCCGCGAGGCGAAACGAGCAGAUUGCGAGCAUUAUGUAUUCCGAGGAACGCGUUAGCGUGUGUAAAGUAAUCACGAUGCCCGUGUACCCUGCCUCGUAAUGAGAACGAUUACGUGUGAGAAACUCCGUAAUACGUACAACUAUCGUGAUAUUUCUUCGACUUUCGCGUCUGAAGAGUGAAACAGAAGUUUAACGAUUGCAUAUCCAUCUGCGAGUAGCUGAGAAUCGCAUCGAUUUCGAAACACCAUUCGUAAGUGAAUAUUAUCGAUCAACGUACGUACAUCGAGCUAAAUUUGUACAUAUUUGUUGUACAUCAUAUUUUCGUCGUUACAUUUUACACACACGAGUAUAUAUACGUUGACCAUUCGUUGCAUUUGUUAUGUGCGCAUCCAUGGUGUGCGGUUACCAUUACAGAAACCGCGGAAACACGAGCGGCGCAUCGCGAACGCGAUCAUUUCCGCGAAAAAGCGCUGAGGAAGAUUCAUGCGCGUGCGAGCGAACACCGCGUCCAUUCUCCGGCGUCCUUUGUUGCACUCAGAAUAGGAGCCAUGUAUCAUUUUCGUUCGAAUAAUAGCUAAUUGCGCCGUGGAUUCGUUUACUCUCGAGUGUAAGGCUCAGAGCCGUUGUUGCGUUCUGCUGGCUGCACGUACCGCGGCUUCAAAGGGAAAGAGAGAAAUGUCUGUGGGAACGGGGAAAAUGACGGUGGCUGUAGGAAAUAUCGGACUGGAGCGAGUAGAUGUGCGUUAUUAUUUAUUGCUCGUACAAAACUCUCUCUCUCUCUCUCUCCCUCUCUCUCUUUCCCCUCCUUCCUCCCCAUUCCUUCUCAUUUUGUAAAAGUAUAGGCGACGCUUUGCAAAAACGUUUUUGACGAAAUUUGUAGCGAUCGUUACGGCUUCUACUUGAAGUUUGUCGAAGCUCACAGAGGAAAGUUUUUAGAAGCGUACUUAAGAGCUUUUAGUAGUUCGCCGGUAUUUUGUUCUUUCUUUGGAAAACAGGAAAUAUGUAUUGGAGAAUGUAAGCGCGUGUCUUACAGCGUUUAUUAUAACGCGCGCAUGAAACUUCUCAGGACUCUUGCGGCUUUUGCGGCCCUCGAUUUCGUACGUGACGUGUAUAUUAACACUUGCAAUGUUUUAUAAACGCCGGAGACUCGAUUAGAUAAGAUCGUUUCCUACCAAUCUUCAGCUCUACUUGAUAACUGCCGAGCGCGAGAGGAAGAGUCGUCAGAAAGAAGAAAUGUGGAAUAGGUCGGCAAGUAAAUCCGUUAUUGUUUAUUACUACACUACACUCGUUAUUAUUUGUAACAGGUCUUUACCGCUCGACGCUGCAUGUCAUAGAGCGAGAUUUAAAGAUGAAUCUGCCACAGAUAUAAAAAGUUAUCUCUGCAAAAAUGCUCCGACCCCGGGCAACAUUUGCGCGCGACUAUCAACAUGAUGUCUUUCUCCGGAAUUAAAGAACUAAAUUAAAGAACUAGACUAAAAUCCAUCGUAUUUAUGUAAAUUGUAGCGAUUACAAUGGAACAACGUUAUUUUAUAAAUACAGAAUCAAAUAGUACGUUUCAUAAAAUGUUUCAGAGAAUAUUCGUAACGGCAGUUCUGUAAAAACUAUUUAAAUUUUAUUUGUCAGAUAAUUUUUACAAUUUUAUUUGUUAAUAAUUUUUAUAUAUCAAUGAAAUAAAUGGUUAUAUAACGGAGACUGCAUUCAUACACUGAGAGAAAAAAAUAUCCAAUAAAAAGAUUCUAUUCGGUAUGAGUGCCAAUAAUACAUUUAAGUACAUUUUCUCAAAACCUUAGCCUCUCAUAAAAGUAAUUGUUCUAUUUAUAUGAGAAAAUUUAAAUUUAAAUAAAUAUGUCAUUAGCACGUAUUAAAUAAACAUU